UACGAAGGGGGGCUAGCGUUGUUCGGAAUUACUGGGCGUAAAGGGCGCGUAGGCGGCCUUCUAAGUCGAACGUGAAAUCCCCCGGGCUCAACCCGGGAACUGCGUCCGAUACUGGAAGGCUUGAAUCCGGGAGAGGGAUGUGGAAUUCCAGGUGUAGCGGUGAAAUGCGUAGAUAUCUGGAGGAACACCGGUGGCGAAGGCGACAUCCUGGACCGGUAUUGACGGC
rnacentral:rRNA from 1 species